GGUGCAGGCCGGGUGACCGCGGGCGGCUGAUCCGUCAGCCGUUCGAGGAAAGUCCGGACACCGUAGGGCAGGACGCUGGCGUGAGCCAGGGGGCGAAAGCCGACGGAAAGUGGAACAGAAAGGAAACCGCCGCCGCCGUCUCGUCAAGGGGCGGUGACGGUAAGGGUGAAAAGGUGGGGUAAGAGCCCACCAGCGCCGCGGCGACGCGGCGGCUUGCUAAACCCCGUCCGGUGCAAGGCGAACAGGGCCCGUCAUGAGGCUGCCCGCCCAGGGCCCGGGUAGCUGCCGAGAGGGAUGGUCAUCCUCGACAGAAUCCGGCUUAUAGGCCUGCUACAGCG
rnacentral:RNase_P_RNA from 1 species